AUUGAACGCUGGCGGCAGGCCUAACACAUGCAAGUCGAACGAGUGGCGGACGGGUGAGUAAUGUCUGGGAAACUGCCUGAUGGAGGGGGGUAACUACUGGAAACGGUAGCUAAUACCGCAUACCAUCAGAUGGGCCCAGAUGGGAUGAGCUUGUUGGUGGGGUAACGGCUCACAAAGGCGACGAUCCCUCGCUGGUCUGAUAGGAUGACCGGCAACACUGGAACUGAGACACGGCCCAGACUCCUACGGGAGGCAGAAGGGGGGAAUAUUGGACAAUGGGCGAAAGCCGGAUGCAGCAAGGCCGGGGGGAUGAAGAAGGCUUUCGGGUUGUAAAGUACUUUCAGCGGGGAGGCGGUACCCGCAGAGAAAGCACCGGCUAACUACGUGCCAGCAGCCGCGGUAAUUC
rnacentral:rRNA from 1 species